GAUAUAAAUUCUUGUCAUAAGGAGAAAUUAGUGAAACAUAGAUAUCUUUAUGGAAAAUAUAAUUUUUAAAUAAAACUAAAUGAACCAUCAAUAAUAGAAUCAAGAAAAUAUUCACUCAGCUUGGAUUUACAAUGUGCCCCAGCUUUGCACCUUCCUGUACCGCACAACAUUAUUCGGUCCACUUGUCGGCACCCCUCAGCGGCAACCCUUACACAGCCACCCUUCCGUAAUCCUGUUACCAAGCACGACGGCUUCUACGCACCUACGCAAUCGUCUACCUACCCUCUCUGUUCUUAUAGCCUGGUAAAAAACAAUGGAUGACACGGAUCACGAUUCAGCGAUCGUCGAAACUAACUAAAAAACAAUCUUCAAUAUUUGAGAUUUCUUUUUUUGCCUUUCUUUUGUUUGAUUUUCUAAAAAGUAAAAAAGAUAUUCUUUCAAAUCUAUAAGAAGAAUAAAAAAAAGAAGAAUCUUAUGAAUUGUAAUAGAAAGUUAAUGAAGAAACGAUCGGUUCAAGGAAACAUCAAAGAGACCAGUGGAAUUGGAAAUUGCAUGCAAAUCACAAGGAAAGAAGGAGUUUAUUUCUUCCUUUAUCUUCACAAGCUCCCUUCAUUUCCGAUCGCUUCCUUCCUUCCUGUCAAACCAUCCUCGUAGCCGCAAAUUAGCCGCCAACGUCCAAAAGAAAGUUAAAAGAGGGUUUGUUCGCCACAGCCAUUUACAUUUACAACCCCAAUGCUUCGUCUUGCAAUCUUCUGUGCCUAUCUCUUUUUAUACUGUUCAUUCUAGCUGCGGAAAUUCGUGAUCGAUUGACCGUAUCGACUGGUAUUUUUCCACCAUGAUAAUUAUUGUCUCCCGAACGACAAAGUGAUUUGCAUGAAUUUACAUCGCAAUCGAUUUUUCCUUUCAGCGGUGAUGAAUUUGCUUGAAAGUUUGAUACGAUGC